rnacentral:rRNA from 1 species
UACGUAGGGGGGCAAGCGUUGUCCGGAAUUAUUGGGCGUAAAGAGCGUGUAGGCGGUCCGGUAAGUCGGCUGUGAAAGUCCAGGGCUCAACCCUGGGAUGCCGGUCGAUACUGCCGGACUAGAGUUCGGAAGAGGCGAGUGGAAUUCCCCGGUGUAGCGGUGAAAUGCGCAGAUAUCGGGAGGAACACCUAUGGCGAAGGCAGCUCGCUGGGACGUUACUGACGCUGGAGACGCGAAAAGCGUGGGGAGCAAACAGG